UCUUCUUCUUCAAAAAAAAAGAGAAAACUGAAUUUUCAAGUGGAAUUUGGAGGUUUCGAAUCCAUUUUUUAUCUUAAUCUUCAUCUACAAAGGCUUUAGAGGUUUAUUUGCUAAACCAAUUUGGAAUGAGGGUGACACCCAAGUAAGCUCAAGCAAAGGAAAGGGAGCAACAAAGGAUUAGAAGAAUUAUAAUUGGUUUUGAUGAAACAUUUGCAUCUGUCGCACUAGCAUUGUGUCAGGUAGGUCAGCAGGAGGUCGCCCUCAGUUUUUCUUUCUUGAACGUGACAUGUCAAGUGGAUUUCAUUAUCAUGUAUA